AGAGUUUGAUCCUGGCUCAGAACGAACGCUGGCGGCAGGCUUAACACAUGCAAGUCGAGCGCCCCGCAAGGGGAGCGGCAGACGGGUGAGUAACGCGUGGGAAUCUACCCAUCCCUACGGAACAACUCCGGGAAACUGGAGCUAAUACCGUAUACGCCCUUCGGGGGAAAGAUUUAUCGGGGAUGGAUGAGCCCGCGUUGGAUUAGCUAGUUGGUGGGGUAAUGGCCUACCAAGGCGACGAUCCAUAGCUGGUCUGAGAGGAUGAUCAGCCACACUGGGACUAAGACACGGCCCAGACUCCUACGGGAGGCAGCAGUGGGGAAUAUUGGACAAUGGGCGAAAGCCUGAUCCAGCCAUGCCGCGUGAGUGAUGAAGGCCCUAGGGUUGUAAAGCUCUUUCAACGGUGAAGAUAAUGACGGUAACCGUAGAAGAAGCCCCGGCUAACUUCGUG
rnacentral:rRNA from 1 species